GUGGGGAAUCUUGCGCAAUGGGCGAAAGCCUGACGCAGCCAUGCCGCGUGAAUGAUGAAGGUCUUAGGAUUGUAAAAUUCUUUCACCGGGGACGAUAAUGACGGUACCCGGAGAAGAAGCUCCGACUAACUUCGUGCCAGCAGCCGCGGUAAUACGAAGGGGGCUAGCGUUGCUCGGAAUUACUGGGCGUAAAGGGCGCGUAGGCGGACAGCUUAGUCAGAGGUGAAAGCCCAGGGCUCAACCUUGGAAUUGCCUUUGAUACUGGCUGUCUUGAGUUUGGGAGAGGUGAGUGGAACUCCGAGUGUAGAGGUGAAAUUCGUAGAUAUUCGGAAGAACACCAGUGGCGAAGGCGACUCACUGGCCCAAUACUGACGCUGAGGCGCGAAAGCGUGGGGAGCAAACAGGAUUAGAUACCCGGGUAGUCC
rnacentral:rRNA from 1 species